rnacentral:rRNA from 1 species
UACGGGAGGCAGCAGUGGGGAAUAUUGCACAAUGGGCGCAAGCCUGAUGCAGCCAUGCCGCGUGUAUGAAGAAGGCCUUCGGGUUGUAAAGUACUUUCAGUCGUGAGGAAGGUGUUAAGGUUAAUAACCUUAGCAAUUGACGUUAGCGACAGAAGAAGCACCGGCUAACUCCGUGCCAGCAGCCGCGGUAAUACGGAGGGUGCGAGCGUUAAUCGGAAUUACUGGGCGUAAAGGGCACGCAGGCGGUUAAUUAAGUUGGAUGUGAAAUCCCCGGGCUUAACCUGGGAAUGGCAUUCAAGACUGGUUAGCUAGAGUCUUGUAGAGGAGGGUAGAAUUCCAUGUGUAGCGGUGAAAUGCGUAGAGAUGUGGAGGAAUACCGGUGGCGAAGGCGGCCCCUGGGACAAAGACUGACGCUCAUGUGCGAAAGCGUGGGGAGCAAACAGGAUUAGGAUACC